GCCGGGCGCAGUGGCGGGCGCCUGUAGUUCCAACUACUCGGGAGGCUGAGGCAGGAGAAUGGCGUGAACCCGGGAGGCGGAGCUUGCAGUGAGCCGAGAUUGCGCCACUGCACUCCAGCCUGGGCGACAGAGCGAGACUUUGUCUCAAAAAAAAAAAAAGAAAAAUAAUAAUAAUAAUAAUUAUUAUUAUUAUUAUUUUGAGACAAAGUCUUACUCUGUUGCCCAGAGUGGAGUGCAGUGGUGUGAUCUCGGCUCACUGCAACCUCCGCCUCCUGGGUUCAAGCGAUUCUCCUGCCUCAG
rnacentral:SRP_RNA from 1 species